ACCAUGAACCCACAAAUUACACAUAAAAUCCUCCAUGGAUGAACAUUUCAACACAGCUUGAUGUGCCAUUAACACCAAAAAAAGAAAAAAAAUUAAAGAAGGCAACACACACUCACAUACGCUCCACCCACCAUCACUCUCACAUCCCACCCAUCCACCAAGGAUGCACACAUAGAGAGCUAGACAGAAAACACACACACUAUACGAAGAGAUUCGAGAAUGCUACAGAAAAACUGUGAGAGAAAGAAGUAGAAAAAAACUGUGGAAAGGAAUGAAAUUCCUGAUCGCCAGUCACUAUUCCGGCGAUCUACUCGCCGGAAAAAAUCCAACCUCAACUCGCUGGAAUCCAGCCUAUUUCAGUCAGUUUCUUUCACUGUUAGCUCACCAAAGUCGAUUUGUCGAGGUUCUCAGUUCUCCAUCGAGAAUUGGGUUUGAGUUUCAUCGUUUUUGUUUGAAAUGGGUCGGUCAAUUUUGUUCAAGUUAGUUCAUGUUUUGGGUUAUUGAAGUCGGGAGUUUGUUGUUGGGGAAUUUUUGUUCAAGGUAUUCCGAUGCCGCUCCGUCAAACAGUUCAAUUGAAAUAAUACGUCAAAUUUGAGGUCCAUUUCCAAUCUUUUCUUUUUACUUAUUAUUUCCUUGUUCAUAAUAUUCGGUGUUAUGGUUUGGACGUUGUGUGUUGUUUGAGCUUUGUCGAUGGUGAAUAAUUGCUUGGUUUUUUAUUCAUUGAUUGAUUCCAUUGAUGAUGAAUUGCAUAGUGAAAUGGGAUUUCGCGUUUGAGAAUUAAAAUUGGUUGUUUGGGGAUGAGUGAAACAAGAAUUGACACUUGAUAAAAAUGUUAAUUUUUGUUGGUUUGAUUCAUGAGUUAUUGUUUGACUUGAAAUAAAUGUUAAUCAAACUUGAUAGUAUCAUAAUAUGUUGAAAUGGAUUGGCAAACGUAGGUUGGGUAGGAAAAGUUUAGAAUUUGUAAUUUUGUUGAAUGGUAUGGUUUUGUCAAAUUGAAAAGAUGUAUUUAUUUUGCCGAGGGAUGCCUCAGGACCUUUUGUACUUAUUUAUCGGAGAAUGCCCCGACGUAUCAUGUACACAAAGGAGGUUCGUGUUGAAGGCCCGAGGCACAGGGUAAAGCAUUGGAGCAUAGUUUAGGAUUAGCGUAGGUUUACUUUUCAGUACUUUUUUACUUCAGUUUGUAAUAAUUGGACUGAACAUUAUAUUUUGGAUUUGUUUUGUUUCGCGUGUUUGAUUGGUUGUUUUUAUGUGUUUUGUGUGGUUUAUACAUCCAUAGUGUUAGAUUAGCCGAUAUAUUUCACUAAGCGACUGUGGUCGAACCAUGGGAUCGAGGGGUGCCUAACACCUUCCCCUCGGUUAAUAGAAUUUCUUAGUCGGAAUCUCUGUUCGUAGAUCAGUUUUAGAGUCAAAACGUCUUGAAAAGAAUUUUUCAAAGGUGACUUGGCACACCAAAUUAUGCCAAGUUACGACUCUGAAUAAAAAAUAUAAAUAAUUUUUUUUUCGAAAUAAAUUUUUAUUCUUUUGUCACUUUAAUAAUAAAAACCCUUUCGACCCUUAAUCUAAUUUUUUUCGGUUAAAAAAAAGGGUUUGAAAGCUCUGGCGACUCUGCUGGGGACUAUUUUAGAAUUCGAGCUUAUUUUGGAGUUGUAUCGGCUUAGUUUGGCACUAUAGGUGUAUGGACAAUUUGUUUGUGUUAUUUUGUGUUAUUGUAUUAUCACUGUUGAGUGCCCACGUUCUCUUUGUUUACAGUUUUUAUUUUAUGUGUUACCGCUUUAUAUCUGGCAUCAUGUGCAUAACCCAAGUCAUUCUUUCUGCGACAAGUCCGUAGUACACGUGUUGUACACGACCUCUAGUUGAGUCACCCUUAUUUUAGGGGGGAACCGUCGGUGUUAUGGAGUAGGUAGAAAGCAAAGCAGUCACUAUCGACCAUACGCUCUCUCGAACAGCCUUGUUAGUGAACCCUAACGUAGGUCAGUCUUUAAGUCAUGCUUAUGUGCAUCAUAUUGAAGACCAAGCGGGGUCCACUUGGCCCUCUGUAGGAGACUCGCCUCUAAAGUAUCCUUACAUGCUAAAUGUUGCAUCUUUGAUGGCAACGUUGGUAUUUGACAGACUGAUGUUGGGCAAAGCAUGUGCUAGAAUUAAAGAAAGGUGUGUAGGCAUGANNNNNNNNNNNNNNNNNNNNNNNNNNNNNNNNNNNNNNNNNNNNNNNNNUCUUCAUGAUUAACAAAACUGAAUGCCAACAGUAUAUAUAUCCAAAGACCACUUUAAGCAAAUCAUUAUAAUGACCAUUAUAUGCCGUGUGUAGACAUCUAAUUUUGUCCCUCCCAAGUUUAAUUUUAUUCAUUUUUACCUCACUUUAUCGUACAUCCUCACCCAUGUGAUUAUACCCCACAAAAAUAAAAAAAUUAACAACCCUUAACAAACCCAAUCCCCAAUUAUUCUCUUGGUAACAAAAUUUAUCUCAACCAACUCACACCUCACUACUCUACCCCACCCUCCUACCCACGUGACCCCCCUCACAUUUCUUCUCCAUAAAGAAAAAAAAGGGAUAUACACGAGACACACACGCACAAUUCACGGAGAGCUCACCAUUUUUUUAUAGACACACAAACGAAAAAAAAAAAGAGCUGAGGUAUAUAUACAGACCUCCAUUUUUUUUCUUUUCGUUGCUCUCACCAUGAACCCACAAAUUACACAUAAAAUCCUCCAUGGAUGAACAUUUCAACACAGCUUGAUGUGCCAUUAACACCAAAAAAAGAAAAAAAAUUAAAGAAGGCAACACACACUCACAUACGCUCCACCCACCAUCACUCUCACAUCCCACCCAUCCACCAAGGAUGCACACAUAGAGAGCUAGACAGAAAACACACACACUAUACGAAGAGAUUCGAGAAUGCUACAGAAAAACUGUGAGAGAAAGAAGUAGAAAAAAACUGUGGAAAGGAAUGAAAUUCCUGAUCGCCAGUCACUAUUCCGGCGAUCUACUCGCCGGAAAAAAUCCAACCUCAACUCGCUGGAAUCCAGCCUAUUUCAGUCAGUUUCUUUCACUGUUAGCUCACCAAAGUCGAUUUGUCGAGGUUCUCAGUUCUCCAUCGAGAAUUGGGUUUGAGUUUCAUCGUUUUUGUUUGAAAUGGGUCGGUCAAUUUUGUUCAAGUUAGUUCAUGUUUUGGGUUAUUGAAGUCGGGAGUUUGUUGUUGGGGAAUUUUUGUUCAAGGUAUUCCGAUGCCGCUCCGUCAAACAGUUCAAUUGAAAUAAUACGUCAAAUUUGAGGUCCAUUUCCAAUCUUUUCUUUUUACUUAUUAUUUCCUUGUUCAUAAUAUUCGGUGUUAUGGUUUGGACGUUGUGUGUUGUUUGAGCUUUGUCGAUGGUGAAUAAUUGCUUGGUUUUUUAUUCAUUGAUUGAUUCCAUUGAUUAUGAAUUGCAUGAUGAAAUGGUAUUUCGCGUUUGAGAAUUAAAAUUGGUUGUUUGGGGAUGAGUGAAACAAGAAUUGACACUUGAUAAAAAUGUUAAUUUUUGUUGGUUUGAUUCAUGAGUUAUUGUUUGACUUGAAAUAAAUGUUAAUCAAACUUGAUAGUAUCAUAAUAUGUUGAAAUGGAUUGGCAAACGUAGGUUGGGUAGGAAAAGUUUAGAAUUUGUAAUUUUGUUGAAUGGUAUGGUUUUGUCAAAUUGAAAAGAUGUAUUUAUUUUGCCGAGGGAUGCCUCAGGACCUUUUGUGCUUAUUUAUCGGGGAAUGUCCCGACGUAUCAUGUACGCAAAAAGAAGGUUCGUGUUGAAGGCCCGAGGCACAGGGUAUAGCAUUGGAGCAGAGUUUAGGAUUAGUGUAGGUUUACUUUUUUUACUUCGGUUUGUAAUAAUUGGACAGAACAUUAUAUUUUGAAUUUGUUUUGUUUUAGGUGUUUGAUUGAUUGUUUUUAUGUGUUUUGUGUGGUUUAUACAUCCGUAGUGUUAAAUUAGCCGAUACAUUCUACCAAGAGAUCGUGUUAGAACCACGGGAUCGAGGGGUGCCUAACACCUUCCCCUCGGUCAACAGAAUUCAUUAGUCAGAAUCUCUGUUCGCAGAUCAGUUUUAGAGUCAAAACGUUUAAGGAUUUUUCAAAGGUCACUUGGUACACCGGAUUAUACCAAGUGGAAACUCUAAAUAAAAAAUGUAAAUAAUCCUUCUUCGAAAUAAAUUUUCAAUCAUUUUAUCAUUUUAAUCAUAAAAACACUUUAGAAACUUAAAUUUAAUCUUUUUUUCGAUUAAAAAAGGGGUGUGACAGCUCUAGCGACUCCUCUGGGGACUUUUUAGAAUUCGAGCUUAUUUUUGGAAUUGUAUCGGCUUAGUUUGACAUCAUGGGUAUAUAAACAUUAUUUGGGUUGUCAUUGUGUUAAUGUUUUUGAGUGCCUACGUGCUCCUUGUUUAUAGUGUUUCUCUUAUUUGUUACCGUUUUAUAUCAGGCAUCAUGUGCAUAACCCGAGUUAAUUCUUUCUGCAAUAAGUUCUGUAAUAUAUGCUAUGUACACGACCUAUAAUUGAGUCACCUUUAUUUCAGAAAGGGGAGCCGUUGGCUGGUAUGGAGUAGGUGGAAAGCAAAACAUCCACUAUCGACCAUACGCUCCCCCGAACAGCCUUGUUAGUGAACUCCAGUGUAGGUCAACAUUUAGGUCAUGCUUAUGUGCAUCAUAUUGAGACCUAACAGGGUCCACUUGGUCCUUUGUAGGAGACUCACCUCUAAAUCAUUCCUACGUGCUAAAUGUUGCAUCUUUAAGGGUAAUAAGGUCAUUUGACAGACUGAUUUAGGAAAAGCAUAUGUUAGAAGUAAAGUAUGUAGGCAAGAAAUUUUUGAAAAAAAAGAAGAAAAAAAGAGUGAAAAAAAGAGUGUUUUGUAGUUUUUUAGAGUUACUUUAUGGCUUUUAUUUUUUUUACAAUACAAAAAUUCAAAAAGAUUUUCUUAUCUUUUUCACGCAUUUAUUCAAAAACAAAAAAAUCCUCAAAAAUAUCUUCCUUUUAUCUCCUUUAGCAUGCAUUCAUAUUUCCAAAAAUUUCAAAAAUAUUUUUAGGAGAUUUUUAUAAAAGGAAAAUUCAAAAACAAGAUGGCAGAAGUUUUGUACAUUUCAUAUAACGAAAAUACCAAAAAGAUUUUCUCUUUCAUAGUUGUUGGUGUUAGUCUUAUGUGAAGUGUCAAACUAAAAACUCAAAAAGAUUUUAUUGUUUUUCAUCUUCUGUUUGUGGUUGCAUCUCUCAAGUCAGGGUUCAGUCGGUUAUUCAAUCCUUAAUUGUCCUAUCUAGACGAACUACGCACCCCUGAUUCUCCUCUUUCGGGAGUGAGAUACUUAGACAACCUAUUUUUGGUUUGGAGAUCUUAUUUGAAAAAUCCAAAAAGAUUUUCUUCUCUCUUUAUUUAGAGUAAGUGUUUCAUAUACAUCUUUAAAAGAAAACUGCAAAAAGAUGUUUCUUUAAUAGGUUCAAGUUUCAUUUUCAUAUGAAAUUCAAAAUUGAAAACCCAAAAAAAAAAUAAAAUUCUUUGGUAAUCAUAGAUUUCAUUUUGUAUAGGGAUUUUAAAGCUGAAAAAUUCAAAGAGAUUUUCGUCAAUUCUUUUGACAAAUUAUUAUUUUCUUUUCUUCUUAAAGUCUUAAGGAAUAGAAAAAGAGUUUAAUUUGGCCAUUUUUGCAAGACUUCACAAACUACGCACACCUAAAACUCCUCUCUGGGGUGAGAUAUGUAGGCGCCCUUCCUUGGUUCGGUGUCCUUUAAAAAAAAGAUUUUGAGAAAGUGUUGAACUCUAACGCAUUUGCUAUCGGUUGUUCAGUUAGUUUGAGGUGGUUGGUUUGUGGCAUUUUGGCUGGUCCUCCAUAUUGCACCAAGUCACAGAGAAAGUUAUGGACAACAAGGAUACCGAUUUUGUUGUCACUAAUCAGAUAAGGAGUUUAGGAAAUAAGAAUUUAGGAUCUAAUGAAGAGAUGCGGAAAUUAAGGCAACAACUGAUAGAAAUGCAUCGAGCUUGGGCUAAUGGGUUUUCGCCUCCCCCAGUUCCCAUUGAUAAUUUGGUAUAUCUUUAUAGCUUGCCGCCCAUGUCACCUGCCCAAUUUCCCAUUUUUAUUGAUAUGCCACAACAUGCACCAGGAUCAACUCCGGGGAAACAAUAUCCAACCACUUCCAAUGUUUAUUUCCUCAUUCCCCAAUCCAAGACUACCACAUACUCGACUCCACCUAUUUUUCAUGCUUUUGUGGUGCCACCCCUAACUGAAGCUUCUAUAUUUUAUGUUUAUCCAUAAUUUGUAUCUCCCUACUCUUCAAGAAAGUCUGUAUUGAAUAUUACUGGUGAUCAGCAUUACACUUUCGAGCCUACAUUUAAGUUGACUGGUCUUUACGGUGACACUCACCCGCCUGAAUUUCCUUCUAACACUGAGAAUCCUGUUAUGAUAGAAGAACAAGAGGAAAUGGCCAUAAAAUUGAGAAUUUUGGAACUGGCUAUGAAGAACUUGCUAGGACUUGGGGUUUACAAAAGUGUCUCAUAUAAAGACUUAUGCAUGUUUCCAGGUGUCAACCUUCCUUCCGGUUUUAAAAUGCCAAAGUUUGAGAAGUAUGAUGGACAUGGGGACCCAGUGGCUCAGUUGAGGUGCUAUUGUAACCUAUUAAAGGGCACUGGAGGGAAGGAAGAACUACUCAUGGCUUAUUUCGAGGAGAGUCUUUCAGGCCUAGCUUUGGAAUGAUUUGUUGACCAAGACAUUAACGAGUGGAUUAGUUGGGAUGACCUAGCUAAUGAAUUUGUGCAAUAAUUUCAAUACAAUGUGGAGUUGAUCCCUGAUGAAAAAUCCCUAACUAGUAUAAAAAAGAAGAACUCCGAAAGUUUCAGAGAAUAUGUGAUUAGAUAGCGUGAACAAGCGGCUAGGGUGAAACCACCAAUGAAAAAAAGUAAUGUAGUAGAGGUAUUUAUUCAAGAGCAAGACAAAAUAUACUAUCAACACUUGUUACCUACUUUAGGCAAGUUGUUCAUUGAGGGCCUUAAAAUGGGGGAGAUGACAGAAAAGGGAAUUAAGACUGGUUGCAUUGUGAGUUUUGCAACAUUGAAAGCGACUACUCAAGCAAUUCAAAAGGGUUCAGGAAGUGUUGGGUAGAAAAAGAAUGAGGAAGAUGCAUUUGCUAUCGUAGUUGGCCAGCAGAAAAGGUCAAGGAGAGACCACAUCGUCAUCUCUCUCAGGCUCAAACCCAAGUUCAUGCCCAAGCUCCACAUAAUCACUCCCCAAAUCCAUUAUACUCUGGUCCUCCACCUCCAUAUCCAGUAUAUAACGCACAGCUACAUGUUCAACCCCCAUCUUACCCAUAGUGGAACACACCAACUCCUCAGAGUCGUUCUAUAACUCCACAAACACACCAAAACCCUUCUAAGCCUGAUUUUCAAUUCAAGCCAAAUGAUGAAAUGAGGCAAAAGUCGAGAGAUAGAUUCAUACCAAUUGGAGUGUCAUAUGCCAUUUUAUUUCAGAGAUUGGUAAAGUAGGGCAUGAUCACUCCUCUCUUUAGGCAUACACUUAAUCAGUGUUCAAGAAAUUUUGAUCCUAGCGUACGAUGUGCAUAUCAUUGUGAUACUCAGGGUCAUAGUAUUGAAGAUUGUCGAGAUUUUAAAACAGAAAUUGAAAAGAUGAUUCAAGAUGGAUCAAUUAUGAUGCAGAACAUUGAAAGUGAAGAAAGCUCUAGUCAUGCUGAUAUGCAAACUAGUGGCUAAGUUGUCAGGCUGAGUAAUUGAGAAGCCACCUCUCUCCCUACUAGGAAGAGGUCAGGUAGUUUUUUCUAUUUUCUUUUCUGUUAUCCGAAUUAUUUUAGGGUUAUAGUUUGGGAUCUAUUUUGUUUGUCCCUUUGUCAUUAUGUUCAAACCCUUCUAUCUUUCAUUUUAAUAGAAUAGAGUGUCCCCUUUUUUCCUGUGUUUUUAAUAUGUGUUGUUUGUUUAUUUUCUUUACACAGUACAUUUUAUGUUAUUUUAGUGAUAUGACAUGCUGGCGAAAUUUUCAGCCAGAUCUUAAAAUCUAAAUUAACCAUGAAACAUUGAAUUAGAGGGCUAAAGGUCGGAAAAACAUCUGAGAAAAUAGGUAGAGUGCUGAGACAUUUGGUGACAAGUUGAAGCCUUCUUCGAAAAUUAAGGCAAUUAUUUUGAGAAUCAUAAGAAUAACUUGGUCAUCAAUUGAAAAACAUAGCUCAAUUAGGUCAAAUAACGGAUGUGUGCUCCCAAGGAACAGAACAAAAACCAACUCCAUGAAAGCAUGAGUCAUUCAAUGUGAGGGAUGUACAACAAAGGUAGAGUUGUUGUUUGACAAAUGUAGAGGAAGGGGUGGAACAUAUGCUCGGGGCAAGUUAGUGUUGUAAAAUGUAUCAUAAGUGAUAUUGAUAUGACGAAGACAUUUCAUUCUGAUAUUUAGAUAUUAUGUCAUCCUUUGUUUAACCCAUUUGAGCUUUAGUGUUAUUUUCUUUCAUACCCCUCUUUUGGAAUAAAGAUAGAGUCAGCAAAGCUCAAAAGAAAAGUAUCGAGUAAAAUAGUAGAGUUAGAAAAAAAAUAUGUCCAAAAAGAAAGUAAAAAAGAAGAGUGACGAGACAAAUAGAGUCAGAAAGUUUCAAAGAGAAAAAAAGUCAAUAAAAGAGAAAAGAAAACAAAAAUCAGAAUCAAGGAAAAGAACAAGUUGCCAGAACUACGCGUGACCUGAUUCUCCUCUCUCGGGGGUGAGAUACGUAGGCUGCCCUACUCUAGAAUCGGUCCAACCAAAUAAAUAAUUUAGAAUUGCCUAGUCAAAAAAAUCUGGGGCAUGAGUUAAUCCUCAUUGUUUGAGUCAAUUUCAAAAGUUGUAAGUCCUACCCCACUUCAAGUGUCGUUUUGGCCCCAUACCAUCAUUUCUUUCUAACCCUAUCCAAAAGCCAAGUUACAACCAAAGAAAGACCUUCAGAUUAAUCUUUGAGGAAGUUAAGGUUAAGCAUGUAAGGGAUAUGAUGAUGCAUUUGGGAACUACUUGUCUUCCUCAGUAUAAAAAAUCAGGAGAGAAAUAAAAAUGAUAGAGUCUUAUUGGUGAAAACCCUCACGGGUAUCGUAUGAUGAUGGUAAGUUGAGAAAGAUAAAAAUGAGAGAGUUUUAUCUGUGAAAACUCUCACGGGCACCAUAAGAUGACUGUGAGUUAAUUGAAAUGAAGAUAAGAGAGUCUUAUUAGUGGAAAACCCUUACAGACACCAUAAGACAAUGGUGACCUGAGGAAAAGCAAAUGAGAAAAUCUUGUUGGCAAAAACCCUUCAAGGCGCCACUAGCCGAUUGGGGUCUUAAAUGCAAUUGACCUAAGGAAGCAACUAAGUUUCAAGGCCAUUAACUCAACAACAAUGGGUAUGAAGUUUGGAUGAAAAGAUCAAGCUUCUUAAUCCAAAAUGCAUGGCAUAAUCAUUAGUGUUGACUGUCAUUUUUAGAUGAAUUUUUCAUUUCUUUGUUUCAAAAGAUGACAUUCAUUGUCUUUUCUUUCUUCUUUUUAUUUUUAUGUUGUCUUUUUUGAGUCAGUUAUCCAAAAAAAAAUCAUCAUUCUUUUUUUCGUUUCUUGUCUUUGAGUUAAGUCCGUGUCAAAACAAGUGAGAAAAGAUUUCAAAACUGGCUACCAGCUUCGUUAAUUUCACAAAGCAAGACAAAAGCUAGCACAUGAAAGAGACAUGAUAGUGAGCCUAAAAAGGGCAUGCAGAAAGUUUUUACAAUAGAAAAGUCAGGGAACUCAUGGAAAUACCAAGGUUCAAAGGGUCUAUCUGAGAAGCAUGGCAAAGUAGAGAUACUGUGUUUGUUUUAGUCAUUCUUAAUAAUCUGAGUUUGGGUCAAUGAUUUAGCAAGUCAAUGAUAUAUGCUAAUGGUUGGAAGCAAGGUUAAAUGUGACUAGGGAAAGGGCGAUCGCCGAAAAAACUAAAGCCACAAACCAGCCACCAUAUUUUAUACUCACAAGUUUUCUUUGAUGAAAUAAAAAACAUAUUACCUUCAAAGCAAGGACUUCAGAGCAUAAAUAUCAAGGGAUGCAAAGCCUCACUUAUACAAAUGUAGGAAGCAAAGUUUCUGCACAUGUUUGAUAAUCAAAUCAUGGUAAAAAAUCAUCAUCCUAUUUCCCUCGAAGACACACUUUCUUGUCCAGGAAUUUUAGUUUUCAUUUGCUAGGUGAUAUACUUCUUAAAUUGAACCUUGAUUCCUAAAAGACGUUCCUUUUAGUCGAGUUAUCCCCUUUGAUUCUUAUAAGGCAUAGCUUUUAGUCGAGUCAUUCCUUGACCCCUAUAAUACAUACCUUUUAGUCGACUCAUUCCCCUUGAUUCCUAUAAGACGUACCAUUUAAUCGAGUCAUCUCCCUUGAUUCCUAUAAGACAUACCUUUUAGUCGAUUCAUCCCCUUUGAUUUAUAUAAGACGUACCUUUUAGUCGAGUCAUUCCUUGACCUGUAGAAUACGUACCUUUUAGUCGAGUCAUCCUCCUUUGAUUCCUAUAAAAUGUACCUUUUAGUGGAGUCAUCCCCCUUUGAUUCCUAUAAGAUGAACCUUUUAGUUGAGUCAUUUCCCUUUGAUUCCUAUAAGACGUACCUUUUAGUCGAGUCUUCCUUGACACCUACAAGGCAUACCUUUUAGUUGAGUCAUUCCCUUUGAUUCCUAUAAGACGUACCUUUUAGUCGAGUCAUCCCCCUUGAUUCCUAUAAGACGUACCUUUUAGUCGAGUCAUUCCCCUUUGAUUCCUAUAAAAUGUGCCUUUUAGUCGAGUCAUCCCCCUUGAUUCCUAUAAGGCAUACCUUUUAGUCGAGUCAUUCCCCUUGAUUCCUAUAAGACGUACCUUUUAGUAGAGUCAUUCCCUUUGAUUUCUAUAAUGAUGUGACUUUCACAAAAGUCUUUUGAUUAUAAAUUAGGGAAAAAUUUGAUUCUUGUGUUUGGAACUUCACUUUCCUGGCAUAUGAAAUCUCUUUUUAAUAAUAUUGGUCUAGGAUAAUUUUCAUUUUAGUUUUGAUGUGAUUUCAGGAGCCCGCUAGAAGAACAGGACGAAUAAAAUGAAAGUGAAGAAACAAAGUGAAGAAAUUAAAAGAAAACAUAUAGAAAUAGCAAGCUAGGAGCCCGCCUAAAGAACAGGGUGAUGAGAUUGAAAGUCAGGAGCCCUCCUGGAGAAUAGGGUAAGGAAGUUGAAAGCCAAGAAACAAGUUUAAAGGUAGAAAGUCAAGCAAUAAGGUGAAACAAUUGAAAGCCAAGAAAAAAAUUGAAAAAUUGCAAGUCAGGAGCCGUCUGAAGAAUAGGGUGAUGAAACUCAAGUCAAGAGUUCAAAAGAAGCUACAUAGAUAGGACUUUUGUAAUUUUAUUUAUUUUUUAACUUUGUAAUUUUUCAUUUUUGAUGUAAUGACAGAGAGGCAGACCGAAACCUCAAUAGGGCCUCACUCGACUCUCCAACUCGGUAUAGUUUCUCUCUUUUCAACUGUUUGAGAUACCUGUGAUUGGACUCUCUCAUAACUUGGGUAGGUAAGAUGUCAAAGGCCUAGUUGCCCUUCUUCCUUCUAUUUAUUUUUUGAAUAAUGGUCGGGUCAAAAUUUGGUCUCGUUGUCUACUUCUUUGUCUGAAAAUACUUCAUCUUUACAUUCAAAGGGGGCAUGCUGUAGACACCUAAUUUUGUCCCUCCCAAGUCCAAUUUUAUUCAUUUUUACCUCACUUUAUCGUACACCCUCAUCCAUGGGAUUAUACCCCACAAAAAUACAAAAAUUAACAACCCUUAACAAACCCAAUCCCCGCUUAUUCUCUUGGUAACAAAUUUUAUCUCAACCCAUGUAAUACCCCACAUGUUUUUAAGCUAGGAAGUGAAUAAGUAUUCCUACGUAUGAAAUCUCCUAUCCUGUGAUUCAUACUUGAGCACAUGACUUACAAUAAACAUCCUAGUGAUAGGAUAGCUUAUGAUGCAUUAAGCAUGUUCAUAUGAGUCACUUAAGGUAAUACAAGCUAAGAGUUUUUGAAUGCAUCAAGUUUUAGUGUUUGAUUUUCCAAGGGUCAUCUUUGAACGAGUAUAACUUGAUGUUAAUAUGGUAUUUUGGCUGAUUUAUACCCACCAAAUUGUAGAGAAUUGAAUUAGCUUUCCAACGAUACCAAUUUCGCCUUAAUCCAAUACCCGAGUGAAAAGUUAUGCCCAUUUUCAUGAGAGACAGUAAGGAUAGGCAAUUGGUUAGGCGCUGCCCAACCAAAGCAUAGGCGAUUGGUUAGGAGCCGCCCAACCUAGCUUAGGCAAUCACUUGGGCGCCGCCUAAGUCAGUUCCAGGUGGCAAAAACACUCUGUUUUGAGUUAUUUUAAGGAUAAUUAAGUCUUUUAACACUCCUUACACAUCCCUAAACUUAACCCUAUUAUCAUUUCAAAUCUUAUCAUCCAAGAGCACUAAAAGAGAAAAACAACUAGGGUUGCAUAACUAAGCUUGAAGAUCUGAUUUCAAGGAAAUUCCUCUGUUAAUCAUCAAGAAUCUUUCUUCUAAGGUAUGCGUGAGUUGAUUUGUGGAUCCCUUUUAUCCAUAAAGCUCAAAAACCUUCUUUUUCAUUAUAAAGUAUGAUUUUUAUAUUGUUGGGUGUUGAUGAUCAUGUUGUUGAUAUUGGGUGAUUCCCAAGAUGGAAUCUUUAUAUGUUUUUUUUUUGAAUUUCAUGAUAUCAUAUGAGUUGGAAACAUGUAAAUUUGGUUGUUCAUGAUGUAUAAUUUGAUGAUUUCACCUAUGCUUAAGAUGUGCAUGUAAGGUGUUUGAUAAAAUGCCUAAGGAACUAGAAAUCAUGCAAUAUAGCUAAAUUGUGACUAAGUGAAGGAUUCAUGAUAUGCCCUUACGUUCCAAUGACUUCUAUGUUGUUAAUGUGCCUUGUAAAUGUUGUUGGAAUACUCAUGAACUAUUCUUAUGAGAUUAUGCUAUGUUUACUUGCAAAUCCUACUUAUGAACAAGAUGUAUGGUAACCAUGCAAUCCACAUGAACUUCCAUGCUAUUGGUAUGUGUUCCCAAUAUGAUUAUGCAAUGAACAUGAUAUUAAGAUUGUGCAAGUACUUCCAUGUGAUAUGAAAUCCUUUCCAUGCAAUACAUUGUUAAUAACCAUGCUUAGUAUGAGAUCCCUACUUAUGAUAUUAUAAAUUAUAGACUCUACUCCUAUGAUAAAGUCAAUCAUGUGUGUAAGUUUCCUUCCAUCGAGUCCUGGGGGUACUUGUACCCAAAAACUAUAGUUGUGUGCCUACAUCCAUGUCAUGUUUCAUGAUAUCUGAACUCAAGCUAUGAUUCCAUAGACUUCAGUCAGUCAUAUUUCUGAGGAAAACCUCAUGAUCUUAGUCAGUUGUCAGAUAUCAGUAACAUUCUGCCAGUCAAUGGAAUUCAGUAAGAUUAAGUCAUGCAUAGUCAGUUAUUCAUGUCCAAUCCCUCCAGAUGGGAGUAGAGGUUAGCACCGAGUGAACCCAAGGAUGGGAACUCACCCUCCAGUUCAGGGUGUGAUUCUUAGUAGUCAUCAUUUUGUUCCAGAACUACAUAGUCAGCAUAGGUUGAGACAUCUUAAUACGUCAGAUUAGGGUUGAUGAGGUGGUUUAACCCGUCAGUUUAGGGUUCCCACCGUUCUCAUUGACUACCCUCCAGAUAAGGGUCAUUCACAGGCUGUCCUUACCCGUGGAGCGGUAUUGACACCCCUCCAUUCGGGGUAGAUAUUGGAUCCCAGCUUAGCCAUAAUGGCAUAAAUGGGGCAUGUCGGUUAAACACUACUUGCCACAGUUUCAGUAUCAGUCUCAAUAAAAGAACUCAGGGCGUUCUUCAGAUUUUAGUAUAUACAGGAUCGUCAAAUACAGUCGUCCAUGUUAUCAGUUUCAGUAUCAGUCAUAACAGUUAUCAGUAAACCAUGUAUUAGUUUAAAGGUCAUGCUAUCAUGUAUUCACGGUCCCAGUUUCUAUAUAUGUGUGUUUGCACUCCCACUUUCAUAUUAGUCAGUCAGUGUUGUUCAUGUAUGAAACCCUUUAUGUUCAGCCUACCUUCCUUGUAUACUCAGUACUCCAAUUGUACUGACACAUUUGCGCUAUGGUGUUUUCUUUUCAUGUUACACCAUAGGUUCCAAGACACAAGCUCCAGCCCAGCAGUAGCGGUAGCAUUCUAGU
rnacentral:lncRNA from 1 species